rnacentral:lncRNA from 1 species
AAAAGUCAGAAUACAAGAGCGCGAUUGAAUUAUCCUUUUGGCAUUUUUCCAAUAUUCUUGAUCCCAAGUCAAGGAGAAAUUUUGUAGUGCAACGGUUUAGUGUUCUUAGGUGUACGCUUUACAUGUUUAUGUGUACGUAUUACAAUAUGGGUAUGAUAACUAAGUUAUUAGGUGAGAUGUUAGACAUGUUCAUUCUCUAAAUUACAUAUUAAAGACUUGCAUAAUUCUAGUUAUAAAAUUUAUUCACUAAAAACUCGUUAUUGGUAAGAAGUG